GAUGAACGCUGGCGGCGUGCUUAAUACAUGCAAGUCGAGCGAACGGACGAGAAUUUUGUUUCUUUGCUUUUAGCGGCGGACGGGUGUGUAACACGUGGAUACCUUCCUUUACUUACUGGUAUAAUUUCGGAAAACCGGAGCUAAUCCCGUAUAAUCUUUUGAACCGCUUGGUUCAUAAGUAAAAUACGGUCUUUCUGUCACUUAUAGAUGCUUCCGCGCUGCAUUAGCUAGUUGUUAAGGUAACGGCUUACCAAGGCAACGAUGCAUAGCCGACCUGAGAGGGUGAUCGGCGACACGGGAACUGAGACACGGUCCAGACUCCUACGGGAGGCAGCAGUAGGGAAUCUUCCGCAAUGGGCGAAAGCCUGACGGAGCAACGCCGCGUGAGUGAUGAAGGUCUUCGGAUCGUAAAACUCUGUUAUUAGGGAAGAACAUAUGUGUAAGUAAAUGUGCACAUCGUGACGGUACCUAAUCAGAAAGCCACGGCUAACUACGUG
rnacentral:rRNA from 1 species